rnacentral:rRNA from 1 species
UACAGAGGGUGCAAGCGUUGUUCGGAAUUACUGGGCGUAAAGCGCGUGUAGGCGGCGUCGUUAGUCGGAUGUGAAAGCCCUCGGCUCAACCUGGGAACUGCGUCUGAUACUGGAUGGCUUGAAUCCGGGAGAGGGAUGCAGAAUUCCAGGUGUAGCGGUGAAAUGCGUAGAUAUCUGGAGGAAUACCGGUGGCGAAGGCGGCAUCCUGGACCGGCAUUGACGCUGAGGAGCGAAAGCCAGGGGAGCAAACGGG